rnacentral:lncRNA from 1 species
GGGCGCGCCUACAAAAUGGCGGCCUGGCGCCUGCGGCUGUGUCGGACAGGGGUUGGCGGCGGGCAGCCGGCUGUCGCGGGGACGUGGCCCCAGCACCCCCUGGGGGGGCGGCCGGACGCUGCUGAGGGAAAUCAGGGUGGAGAGAGAAUAACUAUACCCUCUGUCAGGCUUUCUCCUCUGAGAAACGUAGCUCAUGUGGCUGCGGUGGGAACCGAGGGUGCACAGCAAGGUACGGAUGGGAAGAGAAGGCACGAAGGAGAGUUGUCUAGCAGACUUGUUUCAGGGUAUCACUUCAUCUCCUCAGUAUUCCCAAGACAAUGAUAACACUUCUCCAUUUUAUGCAAAGUUUAGAGAGCGUUGGAUGAAAGAUGAGUACCGCUGUUUUAUUAUUGUUAUUAUUAUUCUUUAAUUUUGUGACCACAAAUCCCACCAUUCCUGUAGCUUACAGUUUCAAAAGCUAUCAUGGCCUGUCCCUCCCUGAUUUCUGGUGGGAAAAAUUACUUGGAAAUGUUAUUCUUCAAUCAGUCUGAACUCUGAGCAGAUGCCUGAUUUUUUCCAUUUCAUCACUGCUGCCUCCUUUCCCUCCUCCUUCUUAUUUUGUGGUCAAGAGCAUUUGCGUCUGCCAAAAGCAACAGUUUUAAUGGGGAGCUUGAAGGUCAAAACUCAGAAGGAAACAGUGUGUGACUCAGAAACUGAGUAUAUAUGCUGUCAUCCUUGGUUCUGCUAUUGCUUGUUAGUACAGGCAUUGUGUAAACUAAGGACUCCUUGGUAUGUGCUGUUUGCUGGGGGAGCAUCACACAUUAAAGGAGCGAGAACCAGGGAGCACUGACCAGAUAAAACCGCUUGGUUAGGUUUCAAGGCCAGUGAAUGGGGUAGCUUAAUUUUAAAAGUUGCAAUAUUUUGGACUUAAUAAGAGAUUCAGUGGCUUAAAUUCUCUUGUCUCAUGUUGUGCUGUGCCUUGGGGCACGGCAAAUGGUCUCUUAAGUCUGUGAUCUCUCUGUCACUCCCUCAGUAACAGCAUUUGGCAGAGGUACAGGCUACUCUACGCUGAGCAAGGAAGGAAGACUUGGGCUUAUGGAACUAAGAGAGACUAGAUGUAUUAACCAUGUAACCAUGGGGAAAAAGUCAAGUAUUUUCUUCAGAAAAUGCCCUGCUACCAGAAGAACAUGGACUUAUAAAAAAUGUUGACCACUGUUUUUGCAUUGUUCUUUUUGUUUGUUACAACUGCAGACCCUCACACCUUGCAAAUGUUCUCAGACUUGCUCAUUCAGCCUGAAAUGAGUCAAAAGGACAUGCUCACACACUGCCUUCUUGUCACCUU